rnacentral:rRNA from 1 species
UCCUGGCUUAGGACGAACGCUGGCGGCGUGCCUAACACAUGCAAGUCGAGCGGAGUUAUGGAGUAGUUACUACGAAGUGACUUAGCGGCGGACGGGUGAGUAACGCGUGAGCAAUCUGCCUCGUACAGGGGGAUAACAGUCGGAAACGACUGCUAAUACCGCAUAAGACCACAGUACGGCAUCGUAUAGGGGUCAAAGGAGAAAUCCGGUAUGAGAUGAGCUCGCGUCCCAUUAGCUAGUUGGUAAGGUAAGAGCUUACCAAGGCGACGAUGGGUAGCCGACCUGAGAGGGUGAUCGGCCACACUGGGACUGAGACACGGCCCAGACUCCUACGGGAGGCAGCAGUGGGGAAUAUUGCGCAAUGGGGGGAACCCUGAACCGCAGCAACGCCGCGUGAGUGAAGAAGGCCUUCGGGUCGUAAAACUCUGUCAUUGGGGAAGAAGAAAGUGACGGUACCCGAUGAGGAAGCCCCGGCUAACUACGUGCCAGCCGCAGC